rnacentral:lncRNA from 1 species
UGAUGAAUGCCAUGGCCUACUUCAAAGAGUUUGCUCUCUCUGAGUUUGAUGCAAAGAAGUUCCAGCCUGGUCAAUGUAAAGGCCAAUCGAGGCCAGAUACUGUAUGGAAGAGGUGCGUGAUCCGGAGCCAUAACGAUCCCAUGCCCCGGCCGUGCUGCUUCCGUGUGGGAACCGGUGUACAUUCUCCUUAAGGGAGGAGCUACGGUGGACUGUUCCGGACUGUAAGGUGCCACUCCAGUGGUGCUCACAAAAUGAU